rnacentral:rRNA from 1 species
AGAGUUUGAUCAUGGCUCAGAACGUACGCUGGCGGCACGCCUAACACAUGCAAGUCGAACGCAGUAGCAAUACUGAGUGGCAGACGGGUGAGUAACAUGUGGGAAUCUGCCUUGUGGUUCAGGACAACAUUGGGAAACCGAUGCUAAUACUGGAUAAGCCCUUACGGGGAAAGUUUUAAUGCCAUAAGAUGAGCCCGCACUUGAUUAGUUAGUUGGUGAGGUAAUGGCUCACCAAGACAAUGAUCAAUAGCUGAUCUGAGAGGAUGAUCAGCCACACUGGGACUGAGACACGGCCCAGACUCCUACGGGAGGCAGCAGUGGGGAAUCUUGCACAAUGGAGGAAACUCUGAUGCAGCGAUGCCGCGUGAGUGAAGAAGGCCUUUGGGUUGUAAAGCUCUUUUGUAGGGGAAGAUAAUGACUGUACCCUAAGAAUAAGGUCCGGCUAACUUCGUGCCAGCAGCCGCGGUAAUACGAAGGGACCUAGCGUAGUUCGGAAUUACUGGGCGUAAAGCGCGCGUAGGCCGUUGAGUUAGUUAAUUGUGAAAUCCCAAAGCUUAACUUUGGAACUGCAAUUAAAACUGCUCGACUAGAGUUUGAUAGAGGAAAGCGGAAUACAUAGUGUAGAGGUGAAAUUCGUAGAUAUUAUGUAGAACACCAGUUGCGAAGGCGGCUUUCUGGAUCAACACUGACGCUGAGGCGCGAAAGUAUGGGUAGCAAAGAGGAUUAGAUACCCUCGUAGUCCAUACCAUAAACGAUGAUUGCUAGAUGUUGGAAAUUUAUUUUCAGUAUCGCAGCUAACGCAUUAAGCAAUCCGCCUGGGGAGUACGGCCGCAAGGUUAAAACUCAAAGGAAUUGACGGGGACCCGCACAAGCGGUGGAGCAUGUGGCAAUAUCGUGACUG